GUCUGAAUAGGGCGCUUAGUCAGAUGCUGCAGACCCGAAACGAAGUGAUCUAUCCAUGAGCAAGUUGAAGCUAGUGUAAGAACUAGUGGAGGACUGAACCCAUAGGCGUUGAAAAGCCCCGGGAUGACUUGUGGAUAGGGGUGAAAGGCCAAUCAAACUUCGUGAUAGCUGGUUCUCUCCGAAAUAUAUUUAGGUAUAGCGUUGUGUCGUAAUAUAAGGGGGUAGAGCACUGAAUGGGCUAGGGCAUACACCAAUGUACCAAACCCUAUCAAACUCCGAAUACCUUAUAUGUAAUCACAGCAGUCAGGCGGCGAGUGAUAAAAUCCGUCGUCAAGAGGGAAACAACCCAGACUACCAGCUAAGGUCCCUAAAUCUUACUUAAGUGGAAAACGAUGUGAAGUUACUUAAACAACCAGGAGGUUGGCUUAGAAGCAGCCAUCCUUUAAAGAAAGCGUAAUAGCUCACUGGUCUAGUGAUUUUGCGCGGAAAAUAUAACGGGGCUAAAGUAAGUACCGAAGCUGUAGACUUGAUUUUAUCAAGUGGUAGGAGAGCGUUCUAUUUGCGCCGAAGGUAUACCGGUAAGGAGUGCUGGAGCGAAUAGAAGUGAGCAUGCAGGCAUGAGUAGCGAUAAUUAAUGUGAGAAUCAUUAACGCCGUAAACCCAAGGUUUCCUACGCGAUGCUCGUCAUCGUAGGGUUAGUCGGGUCCUAAGUCGAGUCCGAAAGGGGUAGACGAUGGCAAAUUGGUUAAUAUUCCAAUACCAACAUUAGUGUGCGAUGGAAGGACGCUUAGGGCUAAGGGGGCUAGCGGAUGGAAGUGCUAGUCUAAGGUCGUAGGAGGUUAUACAGGCAAAUCCGUAUAACAAUACUCCGAGAACUGAAAGGCUUUUUGAAGUCUUCGGAUGGAUAGAAGAACCCCUGAUGCCGUCGAGCCAAGAAAAGUUUCUAAGUUUAGCUAAUGUUGCCCGUACCGUAAACCGACACAGGUGGGUGGGAUGAGUAUUCUAAGGCGCGUGGAAGAACUCUCUUUAAGGAACUCUGCAAAAUAGCACCGUAUCUUCGGUAUAAGGUGUGGUUCGCUUCGUAUUAGGAUUUACUCCGAAAGCGAAGAAACUUACAACAAAGAGUCCCUCCCGACUGUUUACCAAAAACACAGCACUCUGCUAACUCGUAAGAGGAUGUAUAGGGUGUGACGCCUGCCCGGUGCUCGAAGGUUAAUUGAUGGGGUUAGCAUUAGCGAAGCUCUUGAUCGAAGCCCGAGUAAACGGCGGCCGUAACUAUAACGGUCCUAAGGUAGCGAAAUUCCUUGUCGGUUAAAUACCGACCUGCAUGAAUGGCGUAACGAGAUGGGAGCUGUCUCAAAGAGGGAUCCAGUGAAAUUGUAGUGGAGGUGAAAAUUCCUCCUACCCGCGGCAAGACGGAAAGACCCCGUGGACCUUUACUACAGCUUGACACUGCUAUUUGGAUAAGAAUGUGCAGGAUAGGUGGGAGGCUUUGAGUAUAUGACGCCAGUUGUAUAUGAGCCAUUGUUGAGAUACCACUCUUUCUUAUUUGGGUAGCUAACCAGCUUGAGUUAUCCUCAAGUGGGACAAUGUCUGGUGGGUAGUUUGACUGGGGCGGUCGCCUCCCAAAUAAUAACGGAGGCUUACAAAGGUUGGCUCAGAACGGUUGGAAAUCGUUCGUAGAGUAUAAAGGUAUAAGCCAGCUUAACUGCAAGACAUACAAGUCAAGCAGAGACGAAAGUCGGUCUUAGUGAUCCGGUGGUUCUGUGUGGAAGGGCCAUCGCUCAAAGGAUAAAAGGUACCCCGGGGAUAACAGGCUGAUCUCCCCCAAGAGCUCACAUCGACGGGGAGGUUUGGCACCUCGAUGUCGGCUCAUCGCAUCCUGGGGCUGGAGCAGGUCCCAAGGGUAUGGCUGUUCGCCAUUUAAAGCGGUACGCGAGCUGGGUUCAGAACGUCGUGAGACAGUUCGGUCCCUAUCUGCCGUGGGCGUAAGAAGAUUGAAGAGAUUUGACCCUAGUACGAGAGGACCGGGUUGAACAAACCACUGGUGUAGCUGUUGUUCUGCCAAGAGCAUCGCAGCGUAGCUAAGUUUGGAAAGGAUAAACGCUGAAAGCAUCUAAGCGUGAAGCCAACUCUAAGAUGAAUCUUCUCUAAGCUCUCUAGAAGACUACUAGUUUGAUAGGCUGGGUGUGUAAUGGAUGAAAGUCCUUUAGCUGACCAGUACUAAUAGAGCGUUUGGCUUAUCUUUAAUAAAGCAU
rnacentral:rRNA from 1 species